CGGACUUCUGGGAGAGCUGGGUGAACUUCAGGUCGUCGCCCACGACCGCGACCUUGCCGGCGUUCUGCCCGGUGAAGUUCGC
rnacentral:tRNA from 1 species